GCCGGGACUCUCGCCUUCCCCCUCACACACACAUUGUGUCUGUUUAAUGCUUGCUGAUGAUUCAGGCAGAAAGCACUGAGUCAAUUCACAUUUAAUGACUUCUUUAAGGGUAGUUUUACCACUUCUUGAACUAUAAACUCAACUAUACAUGUUUUUUCUCCACACUCCACGAGGAAAUUUCUGCUCUGGAGCCGGACUGUAACACGUCCCGCAGCUGACGAGGCUGCGGCAAUGGCGGCAAUCCUGAGGCGGCGCCAGUCGGCCUCACUCAUGGUUUAAGGAGCAGCCGAGGUUUUCACAGAAGCCUGGGACCCCCAGCCCCACAGCAAUGAGGUUUUCCAGGGAGCAGCCUGGGAGCAGCGCUGCCAGGGACGGCAGCUCCCGCAGGCGGAUCCAUUUUCAUACCGACACCGGAGGCGCUUCUGCCCUCACGGCUGAGGCGUCUCUGACCCGGCCCGAGGGUUUCAAUUCUUCCCAGUCACACCAGCUCCCACCGCCUCGGAACCCAAGCUUCCAGCAAGCAGCACUGAAAUAGGAAGGUUUGGAAAAUUCCUCCAUCGAGACCAGCAAGUUUUUGGUGGAAAACACGAGAUAAUGAGCAGCAUCACAGAUCCACUUCUGCCUACUGGGGUGAGCACUCAGCAGGGCCCGUCAGGCCUCAGAGCCACCCAGCCCCUCAAAUUGCAGAACCAGCUCUUUUUAUGGCCCUGAAACAAGGUUAAGUCAGAUUAGAGGUGUCUGGAUGGGGAACCUUUGCCAGCAAAGUGGGAUGUCCAUGUUGUUAGUGAGCAACUGACCACACUCCCCAUCAGGUCAUUUUCUUGGUCACUGGGAUUUGGACCACACAGAAAUGGUGACUAGAGAUGAAAAGCUUUUAAUCCCAUCAGUGGCUGUCAGUUAAUUUCUCACUUGUUGCACCUCCAGAGAAAGGGGAGGAUAAGGCUCACAAUCACUGAGCUGAUGAAUAUUUAUUUCACCUAGCACAAGUAAACGAAGACUUCAUUUGAGCAUGCUCUCUUGGAAGAGAAAAAAGCCUGGUAAGUUUCUUCCUUUCCACUUUUAUUAAAUGCACAACGCCUCCAGGCUGAUUUGGGGUGCCUGUCCUGUCUUUCCAUUCUGGAGGAGGCUUGGAGUCAUUGCACUGUCUUGCCCCCUGAGAACUCAGUGAAGGAUUCAACACCUGCACUGACAAGGUACUCAGGAUGUCUCAGCAUUUGGCUUCAGAGGGAACUGAAGACCCUGGGCAGGAGCAGGUCACUGGGUAUAAAUCAGCCACCAGCUGGAGAAUUCUGUGCACUCUGACAGCGCUGCUUACAAGGAGCUGGCUGGAAUGCUGGGUGUGCUGGGCAGGGUAGCAGUCAACACUCUCCGGGUGAUUCUUCCCCAGCACCAAUUUGUUGUGUGUGUUCAUAGGGGCUGAAGGCUUUGCUCUGAGAAGUGGAAUUCAGGUCCAAAUCAAUGAGCAGCUUUGAGAUGAGCACAGAUGUUGACAGCUAACACUGCCCAGUCAGGCCGGAACUCUGCUGCAGCAGCUCUGCCAGUAUGAACAGCUUUGGCUUACCCCAUCUUGAUGCUGAACAGCUCCUCUUCACUUGGAUCCUGUCUUCUCACCAGAGCCAGGGUGAUGACAAUAGCAGAAACACACUGAAAAUGCUGAGGCCAUGUAAGCUGCCUGUCUUGAGAGUCACAGUAGGAGAAGGUGACCUACAGUGUACUCACUGCUGGAUGCCAUUGGCCAUAAAACCUUGGAGAACUUGGGACGUGCGAAAGAAUAAACACACACAGAGAUUAUAUUUAAUAAUCGCUUAUUUCUUUACACAAAUGUUGCUGGUGUCAUUUUACAAAUGAAAUGGCAACAAAUACUUUUUACAGGGUAAUGUCUACAGCUAAAAAGUGCUUGUCUUGGCAGCUGAACCCAGGCCAAGGACCCUUUUGUAAUACAGCCACUUUUUUCAAGAGCUUUUGGUCAACGACAACAAUAAGACUGUAUAGAUAAGCCGUCAAACCAAAAAUCUAUGCAUUUUGACUGCUUAUUGUGGAUAUUAAAUAAUGUAAGUAGCAACACUAACAUGCUUAAAGGCACUUUUUUCUUUACUGAGGCUCAACCUUACUUUUGAGUGUUUUUGGCUUUCUUUGAAUCACUAUAUUUUUUAAGUAAUAGCUUUUUAAGUUUGGCAAAUUCAAACCUCAUGUUCAGAGGCAUUGGUCCUAAAGAGAGACUGAUGAAGUAUGAGGUAAACAGCUGUUCCAAAGGCUCUGGCUUUCCAAAUUCUACCUUCAAUAUUGGUAUUAGCAAAGGCUUGCUUUACAGAGCAGUGACCACUGAUUAAACCAGUCAUGGGAGAGGAGGUCACUGUAAUAGACCUGGUAUUAAACAAGAGGCUUUGUAGCACCACAAAUAACCUUUGGUUAAUGUGUCAACUGUCUCACAGUCGAUCUGCCACUGAAAUUUUGAGGGACAGGUUUUUCUGAGCUGCGUUGGGAAUAUUCCAGUUAGCAAAUGGUCUAAAUAAAGCCUAACCUGUGCAAUUUUGAAAAUGUAAUUAAAUAGUAUGCUAAGCUAAUUGCUGCCCCCAAGCGGACAGAAUUGUACCAUAAUAGCGUGAUCUGCCAAAUGUGGCAAAAGGAUUGUUUGAUUACUGUUCUUCCUGUGAUCCCUGUUGUUGGUACACUUACUCAAGUCCAGUUACAAAACUGAGGCAUUUCUGUCUCCUGGAUAGCCCUGGCUGUGGAAGGGUCCCUAGAGCUCUGCUUCUGUAGAUAGCAACACUUGUCCCUUCCAGGAAAAGAAAGAUUUACUUUACAGAUAUUUACUUCACAGGAAGGACUUUGAAAUCCUUCAAACUGAGCUGCAUGUUUACUGCCAAUCUGAUUCAACUCCAUGUCCUCACUUAGAGAAAGAAGUUUUUUGUCUCUUUUCCUCCUCUGUAGAGAUUCUGAUCAUCUUUCCCAGCUCUGGUACAACUUAUGACUAAUAAAAGGAAUAACUGAGAGUUU